UACGUAGGUGACCAGCGUUGUCCGGAUUUACUGGGCGUAAAGAGCGCGCAGGCGGUCGUUCAAGUCGAGUGUGAAAGCCCCCGGCUCAACUGGGGAGGGUCACUCGAUACUGAUCGACUUGAAGGCAGGAGAGGGAAGCGGAAUUCCCGGUGUAGUGGUGAAAUGCGUAGAUAUCGGGAGGAACACCAGAGGCGAAGGCGGCGAACUGGACAGUAACUGACACUCAACUGCGAAAGCGUGGGGAGCAAACAGG
rnacentral:rRNA from 1 species